UGUUUCUCAGAAAAAUUGGUU
rnacentral:piRNA from 1 species